rnacentral:rRNA from 1 species
UGGGGAAUAUUGCACAAUGGGCGCAAGUCUGAUGCAGCCAUGCCGCGUGUAUGAAGAAGGCCUUCGGGUUGUAAAGUACUUUCAGCGGGGAGGAAGGUGUUGAGGCUAAUAACCUCAGCAAUUGACGUUACCCGCAGAAGAAGCACCGGCUAACUCCGUGCCAGCAGCCGCGGUAAUACGGAGGGUGCAAGCGUUAAUCGGAAUUACUGGGCGUAAAGCGCACGCAGGCGGUCUGUCAAGUCGGAUGUGAAAUCCCCGGGCUCAACCUGGGAACUGCAUUCGAAACUGGCAGGCUAGAGUCUUGUAGAGGGGGGUAGAAUUCCAGGUGUAGCGGUGAAAUGCGUAGAGAUCUGGAGGAAUACCGGUGGCGAAGGCGGCCCCCUGGACAAAGACUGACGCUCAGGUGCGAAAGCGUGGGGAGCAAACA